CAAGUCGAGCGGUAACAGAUUGAUAGCUUGCUAUCAAUGCUGACGAGCGGCGGACGGGUGAGUAAUGCCUGGGAAUAUACCUUGAUGUGGGGGAUAACUAUUGGAAACGAUAGCUAAUACCGCAUAAUCUCUUCGGAGCAAAGAGGGGGACCUUCGGGCCUCUCGCGUCAGGAUUAGCCCAGGUGGGAUUAGCUAGUUGGUGGGGUAAUGGCUCACCAAGGCGACGAUCCCUAGCUGGUCUGAGAGGAUGAUCAGCCACACUGGAACUGAGACACGGUCCAGACUCCUACGGGGGGCAGCAGUGGGGAAUAUUGCACAAUGGGGGAAACCCUGAUGCAGCCAUGCCGCGUGUAUGAAGAAGGCCUUCGGGUUGUAAAGUACUUUCAGUUGUGAGGAAGGCGUUGAAGUUAAUAGCUUCAGCGUUUGACGUUAGCAACAGAAGAAGCACCGGCUAACUCCGUGCCAGCAGCCGCGGUAAUACGGAGGGUGCGAGCGUUAAUCGGAAUUACUGGGCGUAAAGCGCAUGCAGGUGGUUCAUUAAGUCAGAUGUGAAAGCCCGGGGCUCAACCUCGGAACCGCAUUUGAAACUGGUGAACUAGAGUGCUGUAGAGGGGGGUAGAAUUUCAGGUGUAGCGGUGAAAUGCGUAGAGAUCUGAAGGAAUACCAGUGGCGAAGGCGGCCCCCUGGACAGACAC
rnacentral:rRNA from 1 species